rnacentral:rRNA from 1 species
UACGAAGGGGGCUAGCGUUGUUCGGAAUUACUGGGCGUAAAGCGCACGUAGGCGGGUGGUUAAGUCAGGGGUGAAAUCCCGGAGCUCAACUCCGGAACUGCCUUUGAUACUGGCCACCUAGAGAUCGGAAGAGGUGAGUGGAAUUCCCAGUGUAGAGGUGAAAUCCGUAGAUAUUGGGAAGAACACCGGUGGCGAAGGCGGUCUGCUGGGCAGUUGCUGACACUGAGGCGCGACAGCGUGGGGAGCAAACAGG